GACGAACCGUGCGAACGUUGUUCGGAAUCACUGGGCUUAAAGGGCGCGUAGGCGGGCAAUAAAGUCAGGGGUGAAAUCUUUCGGCUUAACCGGAAAACAGCCUUUGAUACUGAUUGUCUUGAGGGAGGUAGGGGCAUGUGGAACUUCCGGUGGAGCGGUGAAAUGUGUUGAUAUCGGAAGGAACGCCGGUGGCGAAAGCGACGUGCUGGACCUUUUCUGACGCUGAGGCGCGAAAGCUAGGGUAGCGAACGG
rnacentral:rRNA from 1 species